GAUGAACGCUGGCGGCGUGCCUAAUGCAUGCAAGUCGAGCGCACAGACGAGGAUCUUGCUCCUCUGACGUUAGCGGCGGACGGGUGAGUAACACGUGGAUAACCUACCUACAUGACUGGGAUAACUUCGGGAAACCGGAGCUAAUACCGGAUAAUAUAUUGAACCGCAUGGUUCAAUAGUGAAAGACGGUUUUGCUGUCACUUAUAGAUGGUUCCGCCCCGCAUUAGCUAGUUGGUAAGGUAACGGCUUACGAAGAAUACGAUGCGUAGCCGACCGGAGAGGGUGGUCAACAGAACUGGAACUAGUCGACAGUCCGCACUACUACGGAGUGUCACAAUAAGGAAUCGUACGCCAAAGGCUAAAGCGAGACGAAGCAACGCAACGAGAGUGAUGAACAUCUUCAGUUCGUAAAACAGUGUUAGUAGGGAUAAACAAAUGUGUAAAUAGCUAUGCACAACUUGACGGUACCUAAUCAGAAUGCCCCGGCUAACUACGUG
rnacentral:rRNA from 1 species